UCUUCGUGGACAGAGGUGGAUCGUAAAUAUCCAACUUCGGGCAUCUGCAUUCGACCAGCAUGAUACAAGAAAGAAGUUAAUUGCGAGAGCGAGAGAGAGAGAGAGAGAGAGAGAGAGAGCUCACAAUUGCUAUUGAGGUAUGUGUGUUUUCUGAAGGCAUUUAUUUUAAGAAACAUAAUCUACCUCACAAUCUAAGCAUCUUGACGAUGAAGUUCUUUUCAGAGAAUUAAUUGUCAACCAUGCAUAUAUAUUUUCCAUCAACCACAGCCAAAAGGUGAGAAAAGCUUUGAUAUGCUGAAUGCUGUCAUCUUUGCUAGUCUUGCAUGUAUGUAAAUCUCUCCUUGAGUUCAUCUCUUCUCUCUUUUUCUCAUUUUUGUGCAAAUUAAAUUACACUCUAGCUAGAAGUCUCUAGUCAUUUGUCAAUCCAAUACUAAAAUAAUAAGUACUGAUCAACUAUUAGUACAAUACAUAUAUAUCUUAUGUCGAUACAUCGAGGAUCAAUAUAACUUGAUUGACCCUAUACUAAAGUCAGAGUCAUUGACGAGUUAAAACAAUAUAAUGGAUCAAAGUUCGAUUACUCAACAAAAGUGUCAAAGAGUAGUUGAGGGCCAAGAGACGCAUUGCAAUUGGAGUAAAAGAUUAAAAAUUCAACAAAGGCAAAGAAAUGUAGCAUCCACAAAGGCUCCAAUGAUGACGUCGAAGGAAUAAGUAGGGGACAAUGUCAUAGACAAAGUAAUAGAUAGGGUAUUCGAUAUAAUGCUCAUAUAUGCUUAUGUCUUUCGAUUUUAUUCAUACUUUACAUAGUGUGUAGAGGGCUUGCAAUAUAUUUGACAGGUCUAUUUUUGUUGGUUUUUGUAGUUGUUUCAGGCUUAUAAAUAUAAGUUAUUUGCAGUUAUUGUACAGAGGUAAAACUGCUUAGAAACAAGCCAUCUAGGUAGCUAUUUUUGGGUGUUUUCUAGCUCCGUACAAUUGUGCGAAGUGUCUGCCAACACAGCACUCAAGAGCAACCCAGGUGACACGUGGUUGGAUAAGCUUUUGAGGUAGUGUCUAGGGUUGGUUCGCUAUCUUGUUUUGUAAUAAUAUCAUAUAGGCACUUACGGGGACGAUUGUGGCGGAUCACCUUGGACCCUUUGUUAUGUGAUCGUUUAAAGCUUUACAAAGUUUAUAUUUAUAGUUUGCAUUGUCUAUCAAGUGUUUGCUGAAAUAACUUUUUGCGAGAUCUCGAGUUAAAAACACUUCCUCUGUAUUCUCUUUUGUAGAUUAUUAAAACCAUAAGUGGUUUCAUGGAAGUUAACCCUUUGCAUUUGCACGACGAACGAGUACAAAUCUCGUAUCAUUCGAUAUACGAUCAUAUAAUGGAAUUACUCGUUAUAAGAUGAUCCACAUAUUGAGCCCUUAUCAGAUCGAUAUAUACCAUCCGUACCGAAUGGUAUACAUCGGUAUAACAAAUCUUAUUAUAAACUACGAAAAGGUUUUGAUGAUAAUGAUAGCUGUUCCAUUCUUUUCAAGACUAGCAGCAAGGUGGUGAUGAAAGAGAUUAUCUAUAUCAAAUCACUUCUUGCGUAAGUAGAAAAUAGAUGACAACGCAAAAUUUACAAGAAUGACACACUAAAAAAUAAACUGAUAUUUUUUUUAUGGAUUACUGUACUAAGCAACAAAGGCAGAAAAGUUUGAUCAAACAUCAUAGCCCUCACUGGUUCCAUGUGGCAUAAUCAACCACAAGAUGGUGGUCUUAAAGAAACAGAUGGAACACUAGCACACACAAAAAUUAUUCCCUUCUCUUACCAGUAUUUGUAUUCUCAUAAGAGAUACUCUAAGAACAGUGAUAUUAGUGCUAGUUUCUCUGUUGUGUUCUUGAAGGGCAUGCAUCAUGGGUUCUCGAGGAAACGUAAUAGAUCAUAAAUAUCAG
rnacentral:lncRNA from 1 species